rnacentral:lncRNA from 1 species
GGGCUUUGCGCCCCCCUUCGGUCGCCACCGCGGCGAUGGCGGCUCCUUCUCCUGUCCCCUGCCUGGGAAGUCCAAGAGCCUAAGACCCGCCAUCCCCUCGAGGCUCCGGACCGCCGAGGCGCGGAGGGGAAAAGGCAGGCGCGCGCGAGUUUACGCUUGCUCCCGGGUUCUCCGUUCCUUUCCCCCGGCCUCUGGGUCCUUCUGACCCCAGCGCCUCCUCUACUUUCCCGAAGUCCCUGAGUCCUCCUGCCCCAUGGCCUUGUUCCCCUGCUCCGAUCCCAGACUGUCCGCUGACCGGAGCCCGGGCCACUUCACUCACUUAUCUAGCGGAUAAAGAGCCCUGCCCGCGCUCUCCCUGCUGCAGCCCCACGCUGGGUGAGACCGCUGGACCUACAUGGCAGCCUCUUUGUGCCGCCGGUGCUCAACCCAGGUGACCCCUUUUAAUUCGGAACCGGACUCCUGGGCGUGAGCUUCAGGACUGGGGCCAAGGAUCACUGCACCCACCUGGUUCUGACCUUAGCUUGGUGUCAC